rnacentral:rRNA from 1 species
UACGUAGGGGGCAAGCGUUAUCCGGAUUUACUGGGUGUAAAGGGAGCGCAGGCGGCGUGGCAAGUCAGAUGUGAAAACCCGGGGCCCAACCCCGGGAGUGCAUUUGAAACUGCCAUGCUGGAGUGCCGGAGAGGUAAGCGGAAUUCCUAGUGUAGCGGUGAAAUGCGUAGAUAUUAGGAGGAACACCAGUGGCGGAGGCAGCUUACCAGACUGCGACUGACGCUGAAGCACGAGAGCGUGGGUAGCGAACAGG